GAUGAACGCUGGCGGCGUGCCUAAUACAUGCAAGUCGAGCGAACAGACGAGGAGCUUGCUCCUCUGACGUUAGCGGCGGACGGGUGAGUAACACGUGGAUAACCUACCUAUAAGACUGGGAUAACUUCGGGAAACCGGAGCUAAUACCGGAUAAUAUUUUGAACCGCAUGGUUCAAUAGUGAAAGACGGCUUUGCUGUCACUUAUAGAUGGAUCCGCGCCGCAUUAGCUAGUUGGUAAGGUAACGGCUUACCAAGGCAACGAUGCGUAGCCGACCUGAGGGGGUGAUCGGCCACACUGGAACUGAGACACGGUCCAGACUCCUACGGGAGGCAGCAGUAGGGAAUCUUCCGCAAUGGGCGAAAGCCUGACGGAGCAACGCCGCGUGAGUGAUGAAGGUCUUCGGAUCGUAAAACUCUGUUAUUAGGGAAGAACAAAUGUGUAAGUAACUAUGCACGUCUUGACGGUACCUAAUCAGAAAGCCACGGCUAACUACGUG
rnacentral:rRNA from 1 species